GAGUAUUUCAGAUGCACAAAUUUUAUCUCUAUUCUCACAGCUUUAUCUAUUGCAUGCAGACUUUUAAGUUAAGACACUCAGCACCUCAAGCACUGGACCAUGGUUGUUAAGCUCAAGAAAGAGAAGUGAAGUUCGCACCUGUAUGAAAUCUUGCUGGGGAAAACCGAACAGCUAAAACUAUGGGCCCUACGAG
rnacentral:lncRNA from 1 species